UGUUGACCUCGAAUCAGGUUGGAAUACCCGCUGAA
rnacentral:rRNA from 1 species